GGGAAGGAAAAGAAGGUAACCUUUGACCUUACACCUUUUAAGCCCAUUAAUGCGUCUCUAUACCUAUGUGACAACAAGUUUCACACGGGACCUCUGGGUGAGCUUUUGGAAUCAGAUGAGAAGUUUGGUUUCAUCGUCAUGGAUGGUAACGGUACUCUUUUUGGGACCUUAAGUGGCAACACUAGGGAAAUCCUUCACAAAUUUACUGUUGACCUUCCCAAGAAGCAUGGAAGAGGAGGUCAAUCAGCUCUUCGGUUUGCUCGUCUUCGAAUGGAGAAACGUCAUAAUUAUGUGAGAAAGACAGCAGAGCUUGCUACUCAAUUCUUCAUUAACCCAGCCACUAGCCAGCCAAAUGUAUCUGGACUAAUACUUGCUGGAUCAGCUGAUUUCAAGACGGAGCUAAGCCAAUCUGAUAUGUUUGAUCCACGUCUACAAGCAAAGAUACUUAAUGUGGUUGAUGUGUCCUAUGGUGGAGAAAAUGGCUUCAAUCAGGCAAUCGAGCUGUCUGCAGAGAUACUGGCAAAUGUGAAGUUUAUACAAGAAAAGCGCUUGAUAGGGAAAUUCUUUGAGGAAAUCAGUCAAGAUACUGGCAAGUAUGUAUUCGGUGUGGAUGACACAAUAAAAGGUUUGGAGAUGGGAGCUGUUGAAACUCUAAUUGUGUGGGAAAAUCUUGAUAUAAACCGUUACGUAUUGAAAAACAGUGUGACUAAUGAGAUCGUCAUUAAGCACCUAAACAAGGAGCAAGAGGCUGAUAAUAGUAACUUUAAGGAUUCUGCCACAUCAGCUGAAUUGGAGGUUCAGGAUAAAAUGCCCCUGUUGGAGUGGUUUGCCAAUGAAUACAAAACUUUUGGUUGUUCACUUGAGUUUGUCACUAACAGGUCUCAAGAGGGGUCACAGUUCUGCAGAGGAUUUGGUGGCAUUGGAGGAAUCCUUCGCUACCAGCUUGACAUGCGUUCCUUUGAUGAGCCAUCUGAUGAAGGAGAAUACUUUGUGGAUUCUGAUUAAGUCAAUGAUUUCUGUCUACUAAGAUCAGACAGUGGAUGAGAGAUCUACAGUUGGUGGAAGUUUUCGGGCCUCCGGCCCAAAAUUCAUAUCUACUGAUUUAUUUAGAUAGCCACCAAUCCACCAUCAUUUAAUUCAUUCCACCAAAUUUCAUUUCUAUUCCUCGACCUUCACUCAUGUCAACAACCAGGAUAUAUCACCACUUCCACUUGCAACAAUUGAGAAACCCAAAUGACAAAUCUGUAACACUGACUUCUCAUACAGACAGUUUUAAC
rnacentral:misc_RNA from 1 species